CCACCCACAAAAUUGCUGGGGAAGGCUUACUCAAAAAGGAGGUUAUAAAUAUUGCAACUGCUUCAUUUGAUGUAUCUGAUUGCAUCUAAUUCAAGCCAGGAGUCAAAAUGAUCAUCUUAUUUCUUUCCAUUAUUUUAAAAUGUUUUCUGGUUUCAGGCUCCUCUCUCAGUGACAAAGUCCACCAGAGACCAGCUGACAUUUAUAUAAAUUCAACAGAUACAGCCAAAAUCUACUGUUCACACAGAAUAGACAGCUACGAUCAAAUCCUUUGGUACAAGCAGUUAAAGAACAAGCAGCUACAGUUUCUGGGACGCUUGUACAUAAGCAUGGCAAAUGUAGAGACCGGAGUGAACGUGUCAAUAACUGGGAGUGCAGAUAAAGACCAGACCUGCACAUUAACUGUUAAACAUCUCACCCUGAACAGUGGUGCCGUGUACUUCUGUGCUGCUACAUACC
ensembl:lncRNA